UGGGGACCAAGUCUGGUCGCGGUUUGAGUCCUGACUCCAGAGCAGCUGGUGCAGCCUGGUGGGCAGCACACAACUCAGCUGCCCCAAACACCCCUGCUGAGCUGAAACUUCCUCCAGCGUGGGCCAAGGGCGCCCUUCCACCUCCUUGAAUUCCUGCAGUCUGGUAAAAUUACAGCUCCUGCUGGCUGUUGCUUUGACCUUGUUUGACAAGACAAAGGGAUCAGAAGGAGCUGUGUGUUUCCUCUGCACACUUCGGCCUUUUAUGAACUUCUACUUCAACGCUACAACCUUGUAUUGGACGUUGGUCCUCUAUCUGUCACCACAGACCACAUCUUCACAUCCUAAGCCUCCGGCCCUGAACUGAGGAGAAGCCAGAGAGAUGCCUCCUGAUCCAUAGGCACUUCUGCACUAGAAUCUAAAGAUGCUUCUUGGGUCCACCACCACCAGUCCCAUAACUCUCCGCCUUCCUCCUUCUGCUGUUGCUGUUUGACCUGGUGCCUUUUCCUCUGCUCUUUACACUGGCUGGGAGCAGAUCCAUCAAGGUCAGAGCCUCCGGUCUGAGCAGGGCAUGGCAGCCCCCAGCGGUAUGUGGCUCCUCUGAAACCCUGCCACUUUGCACUUAAAUUGCAGCUCAGCCCUGCUCAGGAGGAGGAACCAGAGGGGCUGAGCCACAGCAGAGUCAAAUUCCAGAAAGACGUUCCCAGAGCAUCUUCCAAAGCCACUUCCAACAGGCCAUUGACACCACUAACUGCAAAGUGUGAGGUCACCUGGGCCAAGUGAGCUCUGCUCAAAAAGAACCCAAUGCAGAGAGCAUCCAAGGCAGGCACUACCUGUGCAGGGGCCACUUCAGGCCAGUUGGCCCCCGGGGGUGGUAACAGGGUCCAUUUUCCCCACUCUGUCGCUGAAGCUGCUGCACUGUUCUAGUCACCCACUACAACUCAUUCAAGCUUGUGUCAACUUCCACUCCCCCAGGCUCUCUGAAAAAGCCAGCGGUGCCUGCAGUUAAUAAAAACAGUUCAUUUAGUUAUAAUGAGCCCUAA
rnacentral:lncRNA from 1 species